rnacentral:rRNA from 1 species
UUCUUUUUCCACCGGAGCUUGCUCCACCGGAAAAAGAAGAGUGGCGAACGGGUGAGUAACACGUGGGUAACCUGCCCAUCAGAAGGGGAUAACACUUGGAAACAGGUGCUAAUACCGUAUAACAAUCGAAACCGCAUGGUUUUGAUUUGAAAGGCGCUUUCGGGUGUCGCUGAUGGAUGGACCCGCGGUGCAUUAGCUAGUUGGUGAGGUAACGGCUCACCAAGGCCACGAUGCAUAGCCGACCUGAGAGGGUGAUCGGCCACAUUGGGACUGAGACACGGCCCAAACUCCUACGGGAGGCAGCAGUAGGGAAUCUUCGGCAAUGGACGAAAGUCUGACCGAGCAACGCCGCGUGAGUGAAGAAGGUUUUCGGAUCGUAAAACUCUGUUGUUAGAGAAGAACAAGGAUGAGAGUAACUGUUCAUCCCUUGACGGUAUCUAACCAGAAAGCCACGGCUAACUACGUGCCAGCAGCCGCGGUAAUACGUAGGUGGCAAGCGUUGUCCGGAUUUAUUGGGCGUAAAGCGAGCGCAGGCGGUUUCUUAAGUCUGAUGUGAAAGCCCCCGGCUCAACCGGGGAGGGUCAUUGGAAACUGGGAGACUUGAGUGCAGAAGAGGAGAGUGGAAUUCCAUGUGUAGCGGUGAAAUGCGUAGAUAUAUGGAGGAACACCAGUGGCGAAGGCGGCUCUCUGGUCUGUAACUGACGCUGAGGCUCGAAAGCGUGGGGAGCAAACAGGAUUAGAUACCCUGGUAGUCCACGCCGUAAACGAUGAGUGCUAAGUGUUGGAGGGUUUCCGCCCUUCAGUGCUGCAGCUAACGCAUUAAGCACUCCGCCUGGGGAGUACGACCGCAAGGUUGAAACUCAAAGGAAUUGACGGGGGCCCGCACAAGCGGUGGAGCAUGUGGUUUAAUUCGAAGCAACGCGAAGAACCUUACCAGGUCUUGACAUCCUUUGACCACUCUAGAGAUAGAGCUUCCCCUUCGGGGGCAAAGUGACAGGUGGUGCAUGGUUGUCGUCAGCUCGUGUCGUGAGAUGUUGGGUUAAGUCCCGCAACGAGCGCAACCCUUAUUGUUAGUUGCCAUCAUUUAGUUGGGCACUCUAGCAAGACUGCCGGUGACAAACCGGAGGAAGGUGGGGAUGACGUCAAAUCAUCAUGCCCCUUAUGACCUGGGCUACACACGUGCUACAAUGGGAAGUACAACGAGUCGCGAAGUCGCGAGGCUAAGCUAAUCUCUUAAAGCUUCUCUCAGUUCGGAUUGUAGGCUGCAACUCGCCUACAUGAAGCCGGAAUCGCUAGUAAUCGCGGAUCAGCACGCCGCGGUGAAUACGUUCCCGGGCCUUGUACACACCGCCCGUCACACCACGAGAGUUUGUAACACCCGAAGUCGGUGAGGU